rnacentral:snoRNA from 1 species
AUCCCAUGAUGUGGACACUUUCGCAGCAUAUUCUUGAACCUAUUCCAGGCUUCGUCGAAAUUCUCUAAGUCGCCUUGACUGAAAAUAGAAACGUCGUGCUUGAGCUU